UAUUGGCAUAGUUUAAUCCCAACUGGCAACUAAGAACCACACGACCACUUGUUCAAUCCCUGCCCUGCCAAGUGUGCUGGGGAAAACUGGAAAAAAAGAUGGAUGCUCAUCCUGUCUCCAAGAAGCAAUCAGCAGCUCCCCCAGUUAACACACUGAGCAUAUGGAAUAUCCCUUUGGCCAGGUCAGGACAGCUGUCCCAGCCACGCUCGCUCCCAGCUCCUCACACACUGGUGUGGUCACUGCCAGAGCAUGGGACACUGAAAAGUCCUUGAUUCAGAAACGGUUGGCAUAGCUACUUUGGCUGGAGAAGACAAGAGCAUGGUCAUGAUGCAAGAAAAAAUGGAAGAGGCAGUCUGAUGAACUCCAAAUGGAGUCAUCCAAAAUGCCAUCCAAAUGGCAGAAUGGCACAGGAGAUGAGAGCUGCCACGUAUUUUCCCUGUUGUCCUCAAGAAGCCUCUGGAGGCUUGAGCAGAGUUUUGGGUGUUGCAGGAGUAAGUCAACAUUCAAACCAUUACCUCUAAUUUUCCUGGAAAUACUUCUUCAGAAUUUCUGCUUCAGCUGCCAUUUCUUCUUCUGUCCUCCACUUGUCAGGGGAAUCCUCUUUGUCAUGUCGUUGCAACUUUUUUGA
rnacentral:lncRNA from 13 species